CAGACAGUCGCGUGAGCAGGCCGAAAGGCCGCUUAUGAGGAAAGUCCGGGCUCCACAGGGCAAGGAUAACGGGUAACGCCCGCCGAAGGCGACUUCAGGAAAAGUGCAACAGAGAGAUACCGCCUCAUGUCCCCUUUCGGGGCCCCGUACGGGGUGAGGUAAGGGUGGAAAGGUGCGGUAAGAGCGCACCCGACGGCUCGAGAGUGUCCGUCGCUGUAAACUCUAUCCGGAGCAACACCGUGGUUGGAAGCAUCAAGGCUGGCCCGGCCGCUUCCCAGAGGUGGCUUGAGCGUACUGGCAACAGUGCGUCGAGAUAGAUGACUGUCAAAUACAGAACCCGGCUUACAGUUUUGCUCG
rnacentral:RNase_P_RNA from 1 species